rnacentral:lncRNA from 1 species
AACGUAAAACUUUGCCGUUAAUCCAAGAUUUUAAAUCCAUACUCCCAGAUAGUAGUGCAGCCAAGUUAUUAUACCCACUGGCGGGGGCCAUAUGCGCAUGCCGAGUUAUUAUACCCACUGGCGGGGGCCAUAUGCGCAUGCCGAGUUAUUAUACCCACUGGCGGGGGCCAUAUGCGCAUGCCGAGUUACUAUACCCACUGGCGGGGGCCCUUGCAUAGCAUCUGAGAGUUCAUAAAUCAUAAUUUUUUCAUAAAUCAUAUUUUAUAAAUUAUUUGAAAACUGAUUAAUGGCACCUCAAAUUAUUAAGUUCGUGGUCAUGCUAUAAAUAUCAUUUUAAUGUGUUUAUGACACCAUAUUUCAUGGAACACAUAAUACACUUGAACCAUGCUAUCCUUGGUAAUUCAUGCACAUCUACUAGCAUAUGCUUGAUUCUGUAAAAAUACUAAACAUGUUUUAACAGGGUUUGAGAAGCUGACAUGUAUACUAUCUAACAAUUCAUCAUGAUAAAAUAUUCAUGCUGAAACAAUAAAUCCCCAUUUCAUAUCAACAAGUAUCUCACUUAACAAUUCAUUAUGAUGAAGUAUGCAUACUGAGUCAAUAAAUUCGUGUUUCAUGUCAACAAGUAUUUUCACGAAAUAAUAACAUAACAUAAAACGUCCACCGGCAUGCCGUGGUUCAUACUCUUGGAUGCUACUGCGAAGUCAUUAUCGGCCACUGGCGG